rnacentral:rRNA from 1 species
GACGAACGCUGGCGGCGUGCUUAACACAUGCAAGUCGAACGGAAAGGCCCUGCUUUUGUGGGGUGCUCGAGUGGCGAACGGGUGAGUAACACGUGAGUAACCUGCCCUUGACUUUGGGAUAACUUCAGGAAACUGGGGCUAAUACCGGAUAGGAGCUCCUGCUGCAUGGUGGGGGUUGGAAAGUUUCGGCGGUUGGGGAUGGACUCGCGGCUUAUCAGCUUGUUGGUGGGGUAGUGGCUUACCAAGGCUUUGACGGGUAGCCGGCCUGAGAGGGUGACAGGCGACAUGGGGACUGAGGUACGGCCCAGACCCCAACGGGAGGCAGCAGUGGGGAAUAUUGCACAAUGGGAGGAAGCCUGAUGCAGCAACGCCGCGUGCGGGAUGACGGCCUUCGGGUUGUAAACCGCUUUCGCCUGUGACGAAGCGUGAGUGACGGUAAUGGGUAAAGAAGCACCGGCUAACUACGUG